rnacentral:rRNA from 1 species
UACGUAGGGGGGCAAGCGUUGUCCGGAAUUAUUGGGCGUAAAGCGCGCGCAGGCGGCUUCGUAAGCCCAGUGUUUAAGCUCGGAGCUCAACUCCGAUACGCACUGGGAACUGCGAGGCUUGAGUGCAGAAGAGGAAAGUGGAAUUCCACGUGUAGCGGUGAAAUGCGCAGAUAUCAGGAAGAACACCCGUGGCUAAGGCGGCUCUCUAGUACGGUACUGACGCUGAGACGCGAAAGCGUGGGGAGCGAACAGG